rnacentral:lncRNA from 1 species
AUGUAAAAUCUGCAAUUCAGGAGAGGUGGAAAAUGAAACCCAUCUCCUUCUCUCUUGCAAAGCCUAUGAGCAAUCUCGUGCAAACCUUCGAAGUUCAUUAGAGAAUGCUUCAUCUGACGAGAUUAAUCUAAACUCUCAAACUCUAUCAGCGGACCUAAUGAAAUCAACUGAUAGUGAAAUCAUAACCAAACUUUCAAAAUUUGUUUAUUCAUGUUUCAAGCAAAGACUUAAAUACCUUGAAACCAGGA